rnacentral:rRNA from 1 species
AUACGACCUGAGGGUGAAAGCGGGGGACCGCAAGGCCUCGCGCUACAGGAGCGGCCGAUGUCUGAUUAGCUAGUUGGUGGGGUAAGAGCCUACCAAGGCGACGAUCAGUAGCUGGUCUGAGAGGACGAUCAGCCACACUGGGACUGAGACACGGCCCAGACUCCUACGGGAGGCAGCAGUGGGGAAUUUUGGACAAUGGGGGCAACCCUGAUCCAGCAAUGCCGCGUGUGUGAAGAAGGCCUUCGGGUUGUAAAGCACUUUUGUCCGGAAAGAAAUCGCUUCGGUUAAUACCUGGGGUGGAUGACGGUACCGGAAGAAUAAGCACCGGCUAACUACGUGCCAGCAGCCGCGGUAAUACGUAGGGUGCGAGCGUUAAUCGGAAUUACUGGGCGUAAAGCGUGCGCAGGCGGUUUGAUAANACAGGCGUGAAAUCCCCGAGCUCAACUUGGGAAUGGCGCUUG